rnacentral:lncRNA from 1 species
CAUUUCCUAAUAAUCUUCUCAACUAUUUUACUUUCAGUAUCCUUUUUAUUUUAACUUUCAGCUUUCCUUGCUGCUUCAAUCAUCUCCAGUAAUAUUUAAGAUCUCUGAUAGCUAAUGGUAAAUCUGAGAACAUUUUCUGGAUUUGAGCCAAUCAUAAUAUCUUUAAAUAAUAUUUAUAUAUUGCAAGCUUGCCAGCUACUUGCCAGGGCAUAACAAAAGAUAAAUAUACACUCCUCUACUACCACCACUAAAAGAAGCCAAGUCAUCUGACUGCUAGUGACCUAAUUUUUGCAUAGCUGUUUGUAAUUCUCAUCAUCAUGUUAUGGCGAUAUAAUUUAUUAAUCCUUCUGGCAUUUUUCUCCUUGACAGCUUCUCAGUUGCUGUUACAUUCUACUUGGAUGGCUGUAAAAUGGAAUAAUGUUCACCCUGCUGUGAGCCCAGAUAUGUGAGACUUUCGGCUGUAAAUAAAUAAGAUGUUAUUAAUUUGUUGACAACAUUCUCUCCUUACUGGUUUUUAACAGAUCAGUAAACACCUAAACAGGUAAAAAUGUAAUAUAGUCAAUUUCCAUUUGAGAAACUGUAGAUAAGUAAACAAUUUGGAUUGCUGGAAAAAUUGAGAUUAUUCUUUGAAUUUCAUUUGAGUAAUUAGUGCUUUUAUAUAAUUGAAUUUGCAAAAGGAUAAUAUAUUACAAAUCUGUGAUGAUUUAAAGAUUUAAAUUGUGGAACAUUUGCGUAUCUAUCUCUUAAGAUGAAUUUGAACUAAAGGUAUAAAUGUUACAAGUUCGUGUGUAUUCAUUUAAAUACAUCUUCAUAAAAGCAUACUUUUCAACAUGAAUUCUUAAGUAUUCUCUUUAUUUUAAUAUUUGUUUUGGAACCUUAGUAAU